rnacentral:rRNA from 1 species
AACGCGAAGAACCUUACCUACCCUUGACAUCCUGCGAAUCUGGCUGAGAAGCUGGAGUGCCGCAAGGAACGCAGAGACAGGUGCUGCAUGGCUGUCGUCAGCUCGUGUUGUGAGAUGUUGGGUUAAGUCCCGUAACGAGCGCAACCCUUGUCCUUAGUUACCAUCAAGUAAAGUUGGGGACUCUAAGGAGACCGCCGGUGAAGAACCGGAGGAAGGCGGGGACGACGUCAAGUCAUCAUGGCCUUUAUGGGUAGGGCUACACACGUGCUACAAUGGUGCGUACAGAGGGAAGCGAAACUGCGAAGUGGAGCCAAUCUCAGAAAGCGCAUCGUAGUCCGGAUUGGAGUCUGCAACUCGACUCCAUGAAGUUGGAAUCGCUAGUAAUCGCGAAUCAGCAUGUCGCGGUGAAUACGUUCCCGGGCCUUGUACACACCGGAGUA